AGACCCGAAACCCGGUGAUCUAGCCAUGGGCAGGUUGAAGGUUGGGUAACACUAACUGGAGGACCGAACCGACUAAUGUUGAAAAAUUAGCGGAUGACUUGUGGCUGGGGGUGAAAGGCCAAUCAAACCGGGAGAUAGCUGGUUCUCCCCGAAAGCUAUUUAGGUAGCGCCUCGUGAAUUCAUCUCCGGGGGUAGAGCACUGUUUCGGCAAGGGGGUCAUCCCGACUUACCAACCCGAUGCAAACUGCGAAUACCGGAGAAUGUUAUCACGGGAGACACACGGCGGGUGCUAACGUCCGUCGUGAAGAGGGAAACAACCCAGACCGCCAGCUAAGGUCCCAAAGUCAUGGUUAAGUGGGAAACGAUGUGGGAAGGCCCAGACAGCCAGGAUGUUGGCUUAGAAGCAGCCAUCAUUUAAAGAAAGCGUAAUAGCUCACUGGUCGAGUCGGCCUGCGCGGAAGAUGUAACGGGGCUAAACCAUGCACCGAAGCUGCGGCAGCGACACUGUGUGUUGUUGGGUAGGGGAGCGUUCUGUAAGCCUGUGAAGGUGUGCUGUGAGGCAUGCUGGAGGUAUCAGAAGUGCGAAUGCUGACAUAAGUAACGAUAAAGCGGGUGAAAAGCCCGCUCGCCGGAAGACCAAGGGUUCCUGUCCAACGUUAAUCGGGGCAGGGUGAGUCGACCCCUAAGGCGAGGCCGAAAGGCGUAGUCGAUGGGAAACAGGUUAAUAUUCCUGUACUUGGUGUUACUGCGAAGGGGGGACGGAGAAGGCUAUGUUGGCCGGGCGACGGUUGUCCCGGUUUAAGCGUGUAGGCUGGUUUUCCAGGCAAAUCCGGAAAAUCAAGGCUGAGGCGUGAUGACGAGGCACUACGGUGCUGAAGCAACAAAUGCCCUGCUUCCAGGAAAAGCCUCUAAGCAUCAGGUAACAUCAAAUCGUACCCCAAACCGACACAGGUGGUCAGGUAGAGAAUACCAAGGCGCUUGAGAGAACUCGGGUGAAGGAACUAGGCAAAAUGGUGCCGUAACUUCGGGAGAAGGCACGCUGAUAUGUAGGUGAAGUCCCUCGCGGAUGGAGCUGAAAUCAGUCGAAGAUACCAGCUGGCUGCAACUGUUUAUUAAAAACACAGCACUGUGCAAACACGAAAGUGGACGUAUACGGUGUGACGCCUGCCCGGUGCCGGAAGGUUAAUUGAUGGGGUCAGCGCAAGCGAAGCUCUUGAUCGAAGCCCCGGUAAACGGCGGCCGUAACUAUAACGGUCCUAAGGUAGCGAAAUUCCUUGUCGGGUAAGUUCCGAC
rnacentral:rRNA from 1 species